AUCCAAGGUGACUCCCUCUCCAAGGGGACAUCCAGUGCCCCUCUCAGGAAAGUAGCAACUUGGAAUAGAAUCUGGCAUGCCUAAGGUCUUUGGGGAACAGGGAUGCUUAUUUACUCUUCCUUCCUUGGCUGCCUAUAUGG
rnacentral:snoRNA from 1 species